rnacentral:lncRNA from 1 species
GCAUCACCACCACCACAGCCGCACCACAGCCGCACCACCUGCCUUCCCACCCCAAAAAAUAUUAUGCUUUAUGUUUGAUGGGUUCUUUCAUAUCUCUUGUAAAUCAAGAUUUUAGAUCGAGUUACGUUUUGUGCGUGUAUGUAUUGUACUGGGGCUGUGUUUUUUGUGCUUGAAGUGCCUUUGUCUUCCGGCGGGUUUAGAUGGAGGAAGCAACUUUGGUUGUUUUUUCUUCUUUUGCAAAUGGGAAGGUUAUGAAGAUGAAUCGCUGGUUUUUGUUUGUUUUAUUUUUUUUAUUUGGCGAGGAGCAGAUCUGAAGGAGAGGGGAAGAAGAUGAUGAAGUUUUGAGAAAUUAUGAAAAUUGCAAUUUGGUUCUAUGCAAUUUGGAGAGAGGGCUUUUCUGAAAUUAGUGGGGAUUGAAUUGAAAAUUCUGAAAACUUCAUUUUGAGCUUAUGAAAAAUAUUUUGGGUAAAUUUAUAAAUUUCAAAAAUUGAUUUAAAGGAUAUUUAGGU